rnacentral:rRNA from 1 species
CAGUCGCCACGGUAAUACAGAGGGUGCGAGCGUUAAUCGGAUUUACUGGGCGUAAAGCGUGCGUAGGCGGCUUCUUAAGUCGGAUGUGAAAUCCCUGAGCUUAACUUAGGAAUUGCAUUCGAUACUGGGAAGCUAGAGUAUGGGAGAGGUUGGUAGAAUUCCAGGUGUAGCGGUGAAAUGCGUAGAGAUCUGGAGGAAUACCGAUGGCGAAGGCAGCCAUCUGGCCUAAUACUGACGCUGAGGUACGAAAGCAUGGGGAGCAAACAGGAUUAGAUACCCCCGUAGUCCCUGUCUCUUAUAC